rnacentral:rRNA from 1 species
GACGGGGGGGGCAAGUGUUCUUCGGAAUGACUGGGCGUGAAAGGGCAACGGUAGGCGGUGAAUCGGGUUGAAAGGUUGAAAGUCGCCAAAAAGUGGCGGAAUGCUCUCGAAACCAAUUCACUUGAGUGAGACAGAGGAGAGGUGGAAUUUCGGUGUGUAGGGGGUGAAAUCCGUUAAAUAUACGGAAGGAACGCCAAAAGCGAAGGCAGCUCGUACUGGGAUCCCUGAGCCCGACGC